AAUGUCGUAACAAGGUUUCCGUAGGUGAACCUGCGGAAGGAUCAUUAUUUGAGAUUAGGGGUUUCUUUUCGAGCCCGACCUCCAAUCCAUUUGUUAAACUACUUUGUUGCUUUGGCAGGCCCGCUCCCUGUCACAGGGGGGCCCGCCGGGGGACGUUCAGUCGCCUCUGGUCAGUGCUUGCCAGUAGCCAAUCUAAAUUCUAUAUAACCAUGUCGUCUGAAUAUUAAUUAUAAAUUUUCAAUUAAAAC
rnacentral:misc_RNA from 1 species